rnacentral:rRNA from 1 species
GACGAACGCUGGCGGCGUGCUUAACACAUGCAAGUCGAACGGAAAGGCCCUGCUUUUGUGGGGUGCUCGAGUGGCGAACGGGUGAGUAACACGUGGUUAACCUGCCCUUGACUUUGGGAUAACUUCAGGAAACUGGGGCUAAUACCGGAUAGGAGCUCCUGCUGCAUGGUGGGGAUUGGAAAGUUUCGGCUGUUGGGGAUGGACUCGCGGCUUAUCAGCUUGUUGGUGGGGUAGUGGCUUACCAAGGCUUUGACGGGUAGCCGGCCUGAGAGGGGGACCGGCCACAUUGGGACUGAGAUACGGACCAGACUCCUACGGGAGGCAGCAGUGGGGAAUAUUGCACAAUGGGCGGAAGCCUGAUGCAGCAACGCCGCGUGCGGGAUGACGGCCUUCGGGUUGUAAACCGCUUUCGCCUGUGACGAAGCGUGAGUGACGGUAAUGGGUAAAGAAGCACCGGCUAACUACGUG